rnacentral:rRNA from 1 species
GAUUGUAGUCUGCAACUCGACUAUAUGAAGCUGGAAUCGCUAGUAAUCGCGGAUCAGCAUGCCGCGGUGAAUACGUUCCCGGGCCUUGUACACACCGCCCGUCACACCAUGAGAGUUUGUAACACCCAAAGCCGGUGGGGUAAACCUUUUGGAGCCAGCCGUCUAAGGUGGGACAGAUGAUUGGGGUGAAGUCGUAACAAGGUACC